CGUAGGGUGCGAGCGUUGUCCGGAAUUAUUGGGCGUAAAGGGCUCGUAGGCGGUCUGUUGCGUCGGGAGUGAAAACUCAGGGCUUAACCCUGAGCCUGCUUCCGAUACGGGCAGACUAGAGGUAUGCAGGGGAGAACGGAAUUCCUGGUGUAGCGGUGAAAUGCGCAGAUAUCAGGAGGAACACCGGUGGCGAAGGCGGUUCUCUGGGCAUUACCUGACGCUGAGGAGCGAAAGUGUGGGGAGCGAACAGGAUUAGAUACCCUGGUAGUCCACACCGUAAACGUUGGGCGCUAGGUGUGGGACUCAUUCCACGAGUUCCGUGCCGCAGCUAACGCAUUAAGCGCCCCGCCUGGGGAGUACGGCCGCAAGGCUA
rnacentral:rRNA from 1 species